rnacentral:misc_RNA from 1 species
GAUGAAGAACGCAGCGAAAUGCGAUAAGUAAUGUGAAUUGCAGAAUUCAGUGAAUCAUCGAAUCUUUGAACGCACCUUGCGCCAUUUGGCCUUUCCGAAGGGCAUGCCUGUUUGAGUAUCAUGAACACCUCAACUCUUCAUGGUUUUCCAUGAUGAGCUUGGACUUUGGGGGUCUUGCUGGCCUGUGGGUCGGCUCCUCUCAAAUGAAUCAGCUUGCCGGUUUUUGGUGGGCAUCACAGGUGUGAUAACUAUCUACGCUUGUGGUUUUCCACCAGGGUAACCUUCAGCAGUGGAGGUUCACUGGAGCUUACAAAUGUCUCUCCUCUGUGAGGACAGCCCUUUGAAUGUUUGAUCUCAAAUCAGGUAGGACUACCCGCUGAACUUAAGCAUAUCAAUAAGCGGAGGA